AAAGCAAGCUCAGGUUUGAGAACUGCUGAUGUCAUCCAUCAUAACUUCUGCGUUUCUCCUCUUGAGCAG
ensembl:miRNA